CUAACUUUAGAGAACAAAGUUAUGGUUACCAGAGGGGAGGUUGGUGGGGGGGAUGGGAGAAAUAGGUAAUGGGGAUUAAAGAGUACACUUACCCUGAUGAGCCCUGAGUAAUGUACAAUACUGUUGAAUCCUAAUACAUGCACCCGAACCGAACAUAACACUGUAUAUUAACUAUACUAGAAUUGCAACACUUAAGAAAAUAAUUUAUUUUGCUGAACCACACCUUUAUUAUAAUACCACAUUGGAUUAUGAUUUUGACUUUUUUGACAUGAACUAUACUUUUAUAAAAAAUAUUGUUUCUAUAUCAAAUUUAAUUUUCUUUGUCCCUCUUCUAGGUAAAGAGCCGAUUAUAUGAAGGGACCACAGUAAUGCCAAAAUGUCAUAUGUGACCACAGUGCCAGAUCAUGUGCCUUUGCUGUUGACACAAUGGGUUCACCUCUCCCUUAAUGAAGUUCGUACCAGCGAAGUGAAAUUGAAGCCUGAAGAACAGGAAGUGAGAUCGAGGUCUGAAGAUACAGCCUGUGUAGACAGAAAAUGCUCAGCUUAAGGUACACAAGAAUCAGGUAAAAAAAUUUACCAUCAACUGUUAUAUAAAUCAGAAAUGAACACCAUUACUUCCUUUUUAAGUUUCUCUUCUUUAACUGUGGUAAAAUACAUGCAUUAGAAAGUUUCCCAGCAUAAACUUUUAAGUAUACAUUUUAGGAGUGGUAAGUACAUUCACGUUCUUCUAUAGUCAUUCCACCUUUCUCAAAUCUGUCUUAAAGUCAGGGGAUACGAGUGCACGCAUCAAGGAUUCGAUGCAGAGAGUCUUGACGUCUCAUAAACCUGGAAGAGGUGUUGUUUAGAGGGAAGAAAACCGCAGUUGGUAGAAUGAGUUUGCUCUGGGAAGGUAAAAAGUGGCUUCCUGCCUUGGGAAUCCUGUUCUUUCUCCUCUCCCCGCUCAUUGCCACACUCGUGGGAACAGGUGUGCAUCCUCAAGUACACUGUUUUAUGCUUGACAGGCAGCAAAAGAGAACUGGGGGACAACUGUGAGGCACCUAGGUGUGGGAAAGGGGCAAAGGACCCCAAAUGGGA
rnacentral:lncRNA from 1 species